GGGCCGGCCGCGCGCCCGCCCGGGAGGGGCAGGACCCGCUCUCCCCGCCCCGGGCCGCCUGCAGGGCGCGCCGCGUCCCGUCCGGUCCCGUCCCGUUCCGUCCCGUCGGGUCCCAGCCCCGCCAACUCUCACCCUGCCCGGCCCUUCCAGCGGAUCCACUUGCAGCCCCCGACCCCUGACUUGGUCCCCGAGGUCGGGGCUCGGUGGGAAGGAAAGCGAGGGGCUUCCCGGAAAGAAAGGGAGGAGGAGGCAGGAGGAGGCAGACGCCGAGAGAGGAGAAAAGGAGGCCAGAGGCAGAGGGAAAAGGAGGAGGGCAAGAGAAUCCUAGAGCGGGAAGAGCGUGGGCUCUGCGGGACGUGGGCGAGAGGUUACCAGGGAAAGAAUGGACAUUGACGGCAGAGAGCAAGUUUAGCCUGGAGAGGAGGAAUUGAGUGAGCAAAGGGGGUAGUCUGGGGUGCGAUGCACAGAAAGGCCCGUCCAGGGUAACCUUCACGUCUCCGUAUCCGUUGCUGUCGACUUUCCAGAGCCUUUGUUCCCAGUGACGUCCCUAUUGCAAUGGAGGGACACACUUCACUUUCCCCAGCCCCCCACCUCGAGAAUUUCUCUCACCCUCCCACCCUGCGGGGCCGCAGAGCUUGCUCCUCACGGCAGGAGUUGGAGCCCUGACGCUUGCCUUCACCUAGUUUUUGUUUGGUUUGGUUUGGCGUUGAUGGGACAAAGUCAGCCAAACUACUUUGCCAUCAGCAGAGAAGGUUCAUCUAUGUGAAGAAUAUUUAGGAGGCCUAAAUAUUCAAGGAAAGGAACUUUGACUUGACCUCUAGGAAUCACUUUCAUCUGCCUCCCAGAAAGAGGAAGCCAAAUGGCCAGCCAACACAGACCACGUCUAGCUCUGAGAACUUCCUCUUUAAAAGCGAUCUCUUAAUUCAGUGUUGCAGAAAUUCCUGGAUCGAUCUAUUUCCCUAGGAAAUAAUAAGUAAUAGGAAAGCAUAUUCAUUCUUAAUUCUUUAAUUCACAGUGAACAAGAGCAAAUGCCAUGUGGUAAACUGCAUGUUAUUUAAUAAGAGUGGUAAAGUUAGACAAACUGAUCGAUUAUGUGGUAGUUAUUCUUAAAGCAUAUUUAUUGUCCAUUCUGCAUUACCUAAUGGAACAAAUGACUCCUUUAAUAUAAAGAAAUUACCUGAAAAGCAUGUAUUUAAGAUAAUGUCAAUUCCGCAUGUUUCUUUUGGCUGAAAAGAGAAAAAGAACUAGAAAAAGCAACAGAUUGAAUUCCUCUGAAUGAGUCAGAAGAGUGGGAGAUGUGUAAAAAUCAGGACGAGGGUGACAGCGGGAUACCAGAGUCCUACCUGCAUCAGUCCCAUGGCCUCAGCCCAUGUGAUCCCCACCUCCCUUGGAUACCAGAUUUCAAGGUAAAUUUCCAUCAAUUAUGGCCACUGCAUUAAUUUGGCUAGUUCGUAGCAUUUCACAAGGGAGCUUCUAAACCUGGAGAACAAGAGCUUGGGUUCUUCCAACAGACAACAGAAUUUAACCUAAAUAGAUUACCCAGGAAAGCUCUGCCCAACUGACAUAGACAUUGAUGACAGGGAAGACAAGCUAGUGCAAAGAGAUGAUAGUAGCAGUAGAGCUGAACUAACAAUCCAGCCUGAAAAGGAAAGUUAAAGAUUAAAAUAUAGUUUAAAUAUAUGUGAGAUACUAUGUCAGAUUUGUGAGCAGUCUUUUAUGUGGUUGUGAUUAGAAGAAUGAUCUUCAUCUAUAGAACAAAUUUUAGUUGGGGGAGCACCACAACUUUAAAACCAGAAAGUCUAAGAACAUUGUGAUUUUUAUGGAAAGAACGCUUUAAGAAAUAGUACUCAAAUAUUUAAUAGAAGGAAAUGUUCACAGGAUUCAUUCUAUAAUGGAAAAAUAUUGUUUUCUGAAAAAUC
rnacentral:lncRNA from 1 species